rnacentral:rRNA from 1 species
UGGGGAAUAUUGGACAAUGGGCGCAAGCCUGAUCCAGCCAUGCCGCGUGUGUGAAGAAGGCCUUUUGGUUGUAAAGCACUUUAAGCGAGGAGGAGGCUACUUGGAUUAAUACUCUAAGAUAGUGGACGUUACUCGCAGAAUAAGCACCGGCUAACUCUGUGCCAGCAGCCGCGGUAAUACAGAGGGUGCGAGCGUUAAUCGGAUUUACUGGGCGUAAAGCGUGCGUAGGCGGCUUCUUAAGUCAGAUGUGAAAUCCCUGAGCUUAACUUAGGAAUUGCAUUCGAUACUGGGAAGCUAGAGUAUGGGAGAGGAUGGUAGAAUUCCAGGUGUAGCGGUGAAAUGCGUAGAGAUCUGGAGGAAUACCGAUGGCGAAGGCAGCCAUCUGGCCUAAUACUGACGCUGAGGUACGAAAGCAUGGGGAGCAAACAGG